rnacentral:lncRNA from 1 species
AUGAAAGAACAUAAUUAUUUGGUUUCAUCCCACUGGAGUAGGGCAUAUCUGCAAGUUCCUUAUCCGUGGAGUGCUCAGCCAUCCCGUCUCUAUAUUCUGAGCACAUGAAAUCUAUAUCAUUCCCAAAUUCCAGAAGCUGCUCCUCAAGAUUCUGAGAUACUAAUGGAUUAUGUUCUCCUGAGAAAAAUGUCAUCUUGUCUUUGCUAACAUCUGGUGUCAUCCUUGUGCUUUUCAAAGAAUAAAGGUCAUCCCUGGAACUGUUGCCCCCCCAGUUAACAGAUGAGCUGUAAGGAUAAUUGUAUGGGCAUGUUUUUUCACACUCUGGUUCAAAUUUAGCUUCACCAUAUACAGAAAUGACAGAAUCCGAAUAUCCAGCAAGGCUAUUGCUAUCUUUUGCUGAGUCGGGUUCUGAUCCAUCAUCUAUGGUCUCUCCAUUUGUUUCUUCCUUAACUAUUUGUGCAUGCAAGUCCUCUAUUUCUGUGUCUUCAUCAAGUGGGUAGACAAUUUGAGAACUAAAGCUUCGUCCACAACAUUUAUGCUUUGGUAAAGGCAAAUCCAAUAGCUCAGCCUGUAAUUUUCUUUUCUUCUUCAAGUCCAUAAUAUUGGUAUUCAGUUCUUUGCAGACAUGGGAGCUGAAAAUAAUUGUGUGGAGGGAAAAACAUAAGGCCUACGGGAAAAGCUGCAUUGUGCAAUGAAAGAAAAAAUAGGAAAACAAAAGGUUGGGCAAUGCAUUUAACUGAUCAAACAACAUUCCAUGGUUGCUAGCCAAAAUAAAGGAGAAGAAGAAGAUGGAGUACAACAAAUUUUUCUAAUCCUUUUCAACCCCAUCUUAGGUUUGGAUUCUUUGGGAAGUUAUAAUGAACUGGAUGAAAAACUGAAACUGAUAAAUGUCAGUAGAAUAAAUCUUGAUCUAUAGAGGCUAAAACUUCAACUGCAACCACCCAAAAGCUAUAAAAAGAUGAUAGACAUGGAAUACAAAUUUAAAGAGCAUUAAGAGUACUAGAAUCCUCACUGAAACACAUUAUCUAGAGGUUUAGUUGAUAAGGCUUAUGAUCUUUGGUAAACUUACCACAAAUAUGUUAAAAAGAAGUUGGCUCCCUUUACCUCAUUAACUAUUGCAAGAAAAUCACAUAGGCAACUGAAAUGAGCAAAUAACGUCCAUCAUUACCAGUGACUUGAAAGACAGCUUCUGAACCAAUGACACCUGCCAUGGUUUGUCCAGAAUCCUGUGUGUCGGUAACACACUUUUAUUGAUGUCAUCUUUUCUCAUAUGUUAGCUUAAGAAUCUUUAGUUUCCGCAUAUCCAUUGAUAAUUAAAGAGUUUCAAUGACAUGCCAUGGUAAGGGGGGAGGGGGAAAGAUAAAAAAGAAAAACUGAUCAUGCGUAAACUACUGAGGUGUCGUUUGUGUCAUGGAACACAAUGAGAAAAUUUGUCUAAUCAUUCAUUCCCAUUGCAUAGACUGCAAACUCCAUCCCUGUCAUAUGGAACUGUGAAAAUAGUGCAUCUUCAUCGUAAAAUUCACAUUCUUAGGAAAUUUUUCUGUUUGUGGAACAUUUUAUUUUUAGAGUGUUAUUUUAUGUUUCUGAGUCAGCACCUCUGUUGCAAUGUUCAUUCCUUCAGGUAAUUUAGGCAAAUUGAACUUUUUAAGUAACUUUGGUAAAUUUCUCAUAAAAAUGAUUUUCUUUGAAGUCAGAGUCUAGGUUUUCUAGGUUAUUUUUCUUCCUCGUGUUCUACUUUUAAAUCUUCUCCGGAAAAAACUUUUCUUAGACUAGAAAUCAGAGUCCAACAACUAGGGCAAAAAACUAAAUAGUUGCAAAAACAAUUAACCAGAAAAGAAAACGAAUCAUUUUCACAGAUUCAACCAACAGCCAAGGAUCAUUCUCAGAAGACCAAAUUUUAUUGCUGCAUUUUGCAGUCAAUCACUGAGCAAUUAAGAUGCAGCAUGGGACACCAUCUUUGGGUUUAAGUAUGUUUCACCAUUGAUGACUUCCCCAAUGGUACUUGUAAGCAUAUUCGUGUGUUGGCAAUUCUGGGUCAAAUUUCCCAUUGUGUUAGAUUCAUCUUCACUGCUUAUGAGUUAUGCCAAGUAAUAAUGAAUUAUCAAUCAAGGAGAAAAGUGAGUUACAAUGGUGAGAAAAGGAAAAAUAGAUAGGAUUCAACAUAAUCAUUGGGUCCAGAUAGUGCAGCACCCAAAAAGAGAUUGUGUAGUUACUGCUUACCUCAAACAGUUACUUGGGACAGAGGCUGUGUUGAGUUGAGUCAGUGAAAAUUUUCUUCUGAAAACAAUUUCUUCUAACUUUAUUUUGAAAAUAAGUAUUUUUUUUUAAGAACAAAUUUAUAAAUUAUGAAGAAUACAUUAAGGGUGCUAUCGGUACGUGGGAAUAGGAAUGGAAAGGAACGGUGAUACCAUGUGGAAAAGAGGAAUCAAAAUACCAGCCAGUACAUUUGAUUUCCAUAAUAAUGAAUUUUUUAUUCCUAUUUCCAUUCUGAAAAACAAUCCAAACACGUUAAUGAAUAGGAGAUAAAAUUGAUUUCUGUUCCAGCAUUUCAAGCAUGGCCUAAGAAUAUUAUCCACACACUAUUCACAGAGAAUAAGCCAAGAAAGUGGUCUUCAGUUGUUUUCCAUAUUUAAGUUCCUCAAUAGAUUUUAUUACUUGUUGCCAAGAGAACUGUUUUCGAAAUGUUUCCAGUGGCUGAUCAAGCAUCAAUAACAAGUACUUGGUUCCCACCAAAGCACCCAGGAAAGCAAAACUCACAUUAAAAACAGGACCAUAUUCCGGAUCCAGAAGAGAGAUCCAACAAUCUCCGCUGAAAAAGAGUAUAUUCAACUUUUUUCUACUGAUUUACACCCAAAAAGGAAGAAACGAUCCAACUGGAGGAAAAAAAAAAAAAAAAAAAGGAAAGAAAAGAAAAAAAAAAACCCUCCUAAUUUAACUGAUUUCAAAAGCCUCAUUUGAUAACAAACAUAACACCUGUAGCAACAAACUGUAAGUUGAAAUUAUCCAAAAAAAUGAUAUACGCAGGGGAAAAAUUGAAAACCCAGAAACCAAACCUGUGAAGCUCAGAUGGGUUCUUGUUAGUUUCAUCCAUCUCGACCGAAGAGAACCAAGGAAAAUUGCUGCAGUUUCUGUGAAACGGAGCUCCAAACAAGUCCAAUUUCUUCACUCCGUACUCGAACAAGCCCAAACCCAAACGGAUGAGGAUGAAAGAUAAAUACAAGCAAUAGGUCACCGAACCGACGCCUAAAGACUGAUCAUUCCAGAAUCAAUUUCACCUCUUUGAUGCUAUCCGAGAAUCUACCCAUCACACAAACUCCUACACAGAGGCUCAGCUUUUACUCCUCUCUGUUUUUGGUUUGCUUUGGAGCGUACAAGUCCAAGCGCCAUUGAGGAGCGUGUGCGAGCGAUCUCAAUUAUUUGAGGACAUUUUUAAGGUAUAAUGCGAGUAGAACCGUAGAAGCAGCCUUCAACAGUUCAAUGAUUCAACCAGCAAAGGACCCACCAUAUUAUAGAAUUGAGUGGAGCGUGUCUCCCACAUUCCUAACUAAGAGGGUGUGAUAAGCAUAUCUCGGUUCUUGUGUUUUACUGACAUGGAUAGGACCAUUUGUUGUCCACCGCUCUUUAUCCUGGGUCAUUUUUCAUUCACUGGAAGCCUCCCUGUAAUCUCCCUCUGAAAGCACAUUAAUCAGUCAUCAUAUCCUUCAAACUUCCAACUUCUACCAUCCGGAUCGUGUUAUUAAAUUAAGGGAGAAUUACCGAAAAGAGUUGGCCGGUCAAAACAAUUACUAGAUAGGGUGGUAUCUUUUAAUAAUUAUUGAGGAGAACUUUAGUAAGCUUAAUAUAUCAAAACUAUCCUUUAACUAAAACUUUUAAAAUUCAAAGCAUUUAAAGUACUUUAUUUUAUUUGUCAAUACAUUUAUGAUACAUGGGUCUCAUAUUUAUUGUAAUUAUUGAUAUUUAAAUUUUAAAUCAAAAUUUUAGGUUUAACCCUUACAAUUAUAUAUAAUUUGUUAUUUAAAUUUACUAUUUAAAACAAAAAUACUUUUAAAAAAUAUUUUCAAAAUAUCAUUUAUUGUUUUUUUACCUUUUUUAUUUUUAUUCUAAUUUUUAAUUUUAUGAAGAAAAAAAUAAGUUUUAUAAUUAUAUAAUAAAAAUGAUGAUUUUUUCAUAUAUAUAUAUAUAUAUAUAUAUAUAUAUAUAUAUAUAUAUAUAUAUAUAUAUUAAUUUUAAAUUGAUAAAUUAUGUUUUUGUAUUAAAUUUAAGGAAGAUAAAAUGUUUAAUUUUUCAUUCAGAUUCUUUAAAAAUAAUAAGAAAAUAAUAGAAAAUGUUUAAUCAUUUUUUAUUUUUAUAAUAAAAAAAUUUAAAAAAAUUUAUAUGAUUUUUUUUCCUUUGCAUAGUGUUUUUUUUUUAUAUUUAAUUUUCAUAUAAAUUUUUUUUCUCAAUGUAUCGAGUGGAUGAUGUUAAUAUAUUUGAUAUGUUGAAUAUUAAUAAGAUAUAAAAGGUGAUCUUUAAGAUUAUUACUUUUAUUAUACAAUACAAGAACAACAAAAAUAUGUUAUAAUUACGAUAUAAAUAUACUUACAUUACAAUACAUUAUAAUAAAACCUAAUUAAGAAAUUUAUGAAUUUUUUUUAUAAAAAUGGUAAUUUUGUAUGAUCAUACCAUAUUUCACAACAUACCUAUAUCAUAAAUAAUUUCUGAAAUCAAAUGAAAUACUAAUUUGAAUUCACGUAGUUUAUAUAUAUAUAUAUACAAAAAUUAUUAAAUAAUUUUAAAACACUAAAUAAAUGUUGUUAAUAUAUUAAUACGAUGUGUUAAUACCAAUAGGGUAUGAAUAAACAUUUUUAAAAUUAUUACUUUUAUAAUGAAAUAUAGGUACGACAUAAAUUCAUUAUACUUACAAUAUAAAUACAUUAUCAUUACAAUAUAUUAUAACAUAAUUUAAUUUAUUUUUAUUUAUUUUUUUCACGUGCUAUAUUACCCAAUGAAUAAUUGUGAGUUAUUCCAUUUAAUAGGUGUGUGUUAGUCAAUUGAAUAUUUAUAUAUUAUUCAAUUGAUGAGUGCUCGUAAAAAAUAAUUAUUUAUUAUAUUAUGAUAACAAAGUUUUUAAUUGUAUGUUUUAUAUAUAAAACGAUAUAAUAACUUUAGGAUAUGGUUUUUAUUUAUGAGAUAUUAAAAAUUAUUUUUUUACAAGGUUCUUUAAAAAAUCUCAAUUUUAAAAAAAAAAAAAUUUUUAAAUAGUUAAUUGUUCAAAAGUAAUAACAAUUUUUUCAAGUUGAAAAAUAUACCGUUAAUUGUCUAUCAACAUGUACUUAUCAUCAUAUAUGGGUCCCACAUCAUUUAUCAACUUAUACUUAUCAUCAUUUAUGAGCCCCACAUCAUUGACAAUCUCAAUUUAUUUAUAAAUAAUAUAAAAUACAUAUUAAAGGGUAAAAUUAUCUUCUAAAAGAAUGAACCUUCAUAGUCAUUAUUUUUUCUAACUCACCCUUUUGGAUAAUUCCCCCUUAAAUUAAAAUCACUCGAACUUGGAAUUUUCAGUCACCCGUCCUCGCUACUACUCUCCAUGUUCCUUUUGUUUUUGUUUUUGUUUUUUUUUUUUAAUUUUGAGUCAGAACCUUUUGCCAUCACGAACAGGCAUCACCGCAUGGAGUUGGCUUCUUUCACUAGCCUUUCUGGGCCCACUCUGAUGUACUCACUUGUUCUACGUGACAGCCUGGUCCCUUAUAAGCUGGAAGAUAAGGAGAUGCAAUCGUAGUCAAUGGGUUUCCAUGGCUUGUCCUCCCUCAAAUUCUUACCGCUGGCAUAGAAGGCAGCAAGCAGCCAAAUGUCAGCUUCAUUUGUUUCGGAAAAGAGAACUCUCUCCAUCUGGUGUGGCCCCCGGGUGUGUAUAUACAUAAACCUCGGACUGUCAACAUCAAAGCUAUUUCCAACUCACAAUGCCAGACAAAAUAAAGAACAGAAAAAAGAAAGAAAAAAAAAGGGCAAACAAAUUGACAAGAAGCAUAAUAUUAUUUUGAUUCUCUCAAAGUUUACAAGGGCUACACAAAUUGUUACAUGAAAACUGGACGCUGAUCAUGUCUUCGACUACAGUUUUUGGUUGGUGUGCUGGGAUUUGUGAUUCCCUCUUUGUACACAAGGUAACAAAUGAAGAAAAUGGCUGUAAGCUCUACAUCAUCCAAAACAACCACAAAAGCACCUGUCCUAUGUCUAAAUGCUCUAACAACUAGUCAGUUUUGGCUAUUGACAAUAACCCUCUUAGUAUUCAAUUCCUCCCAUCAAAGCCAAUCUAUAGCUUUGGAACUUCUUGAUUUUGGCUACUGCAGGAGGGGUAACUGGGUAAAAGCUAGGAAACUUUUCAUCGAAAGGAACUACUACUAAAGUAGUGCAGACUACAAGCUGGGUAACUUGAAAUGGCACCACUGGUGAUAAGCACAUGAUCAGCAUUCAAUCAUCCAUUCAUAGCCACAGUUAACAUAUUGAUAUUGCCAAUGCAAUGCCAUAACGAAGCAACCUUGAACUUCAUAUCACCAUUGAUGCACUGGCUGCUCUAUCAAAGGUUGUAGGGGAAGCGAAGACCAGAACCAAUGUGCUUUGAUGUAGGGCAUACCCAGCUGAAGAUGCUUGGACCCAACACCUGAAGCAUUCAAGCAAAACCAAUUCAUGGGUUAUUUAUUGAGAACAAGAGAAUAUGCAAAUUUAGCAAUGUUUUGGAAUCCAAUUUGAACUAAAUGGUUUAAGCCAUCAAUGUGUCCCCAAAUCUUAGAAAAAGAACAAGUAGGUUGAAACUCAACUGGAGGUGGAGAUUUUAUGUUAUUGCAAUUGUUAGUAUAAAUAUAUAUAUAAAGAUUAAAACAAAUAGAUGGUCUUCUCUCCAAGACAAUACCAGGACAGAAUAUUCUUGGCAUUGAGAUUCCUUACUACCACUACUAAAGGGUGAAUGCAGAAUCCUGCCUCCAAGAUGCACUAAAACUAGAGUUGGGAAUCCAGGUGAUGAGCAGAAAGCUAGAUGGAAAAGCACUAGGGUCUGCAGAUGUUCCAGUUUGAUUUGAUGGAAAAAUGACCAUAAUGGAGAUUCAUCAAGUAGGUUGAGAGCUGGACUAGAAGCAGAGAUAAAUUCCAAAAGAGAAAUGGUGUAGUGCUUUCUCAACCCUUGCAGCCAAGAAAAGGUGAGAAUAAGGGGAAGUGCCGAUGUAGCCGGAACAUAAGUUAUAAGUUUGAAGAUGCCACUGAGGUGACAAGGGUUCAGAAUGAGGAUGGGGGAGGCUCCAAGCUUAGAUCCAUGUACCCAAACAAAAAAAAAAAGAAUAAAAAGAAAGAAGCAAAAAUAUAUUAAAAGCUUGGAGCUGAAGACCCUAUAGUGACUUAAAUUUUUUCUAUAACAAGGAAACCUCUUAUUAUUAUUAUUAUUAUUAUUUUUGAUAAAUAAAAAGUUUGCAGAACAAGGAAACCCAUUAUUGUAGGACCAAGAAAGACCUUGGAUGCACAACCCAUCCCACAUGACUGUAACCCUGGGAGGUCCUGCUACUGAAUGGGAGUGCCUGCCGGUUAAGUAUGUUUACCAGAGAAGAAAAGGGUUAAGGAGCAAUAGUCUUACUGAUGUCAGAUUUUCAUAGGCACCAAGAUCAUAAAAAUUUUUAGAGACAUUCCCUCCUUUCUCUGCAAGAUACAAAGCUCUGACACCUUCAUGGUACUGCCAAAGAAAGCCCAAGGAAACAGUGAAUUGACUUCCAAAUCAGAUUGGGAAACAAAGGUAUGAAAAAUGAAUUAAAAUAAUAUGUUGAGUUCUAAUAACCUCAAUUGUUGUCUUGUUUUGCAAAAUGAGAUAGAUAUGCCAACCUAAAAGAACCAUCAGUGCCACAGAUAAUGGGACUAGCAACAGUCCAGAAAUGACCUGCAAAUGGGAACUGAUAAAUAGAUCAACUAACAUUCUAGGUUCUAAUUCAAACAAAAUAGGUUUUCAGUGACAUUACAUAUGCAUUUCUGAAUGAGCCUCCGCUUUGUUCUUCAUCCUUCUCAGCAUCAUUAUAAAUACUACCCACAAGCAGGACCUGUAAUUUUAUAUUAAAAAUGGUUAUGUUCUUGAACCACUCCCUUUAAUCAUAAAGAUCAACCCUGUGUGGCUUCCCAAAAACAUAGGGCAGCAAGAAUAGCAAAAAUACAAGGAAAGGUUCCAGUAGGAUAAGGAAAUUAAAACAAACAGGUUAGUAUAUGCAUGCAGUCACAGGAGAUUAAAACUCUUGACCUAAAUUUUGUACAUUGUGGAAGGAUGUCUCAUCCUUCUUGAUCUUUUUAAUUAAUAAAAAAAACUCAUUGGGUUUCUAAUUGAAACUUUAGGUCUUUUUUAAAUUUAAAUUGAUUCAAUUGUGAAAUAAAAUAUCCCACAUGUGUAUCUAGGGAAUUAUAUAUAUACACACACACACACACACACACGCAUGCAGUCACAGAAUGUACAUUGAGCAGUAAGAAGUUAUAAAGGAAAAAGUCCAAUUAAAGUUUUACAUAACAAAAUUAAGACGUACCAGAGAAUAGAUGCACCCAAGUACAGCAUAUAAAACGAAGAUGAAGAAGGCCUUAUAGUUUGCAUGUCCCACACAAUUAUUUAUCCAGAUGCAAUGAUGGUCCUUAUAAUCAAGAGACAGAAUUUUUAACAAAUUAUCCAGGAUAUUUGAAAUAAGGCAAGAGUGACGAUGUAGAUCACACAUACCAUUCGCAAAACACAUCUUCUGCAAACACGACAAUGGUGUGCACGGGCAGGUUUAUAGUGGGCACACUUCUGGCAGUAUCUCAGAUCUCCACCCUGCAAAAACAUCUCAAUAGAAAGUCAAACCUUAGAAGCCAUACUCAUUUUUCUCAGUAUUCAGAGCAAUUUCAACCUUUUUAGAAAAAACAGGUUCCAACCUCAGAUUUUAUGCAUACUGAACGAUUAGCUAAUAUGAAGUGUGUUAAUUUUUCCACAGAAAAAUAUAGACUAAUGUUUAUGUGCCACCCAGAAUAGAGUAACCAUAACAUCACAUGCUCCCAAGUCCCCUCAAGGCUCCUAAGGGAAACCCUAUGCCUAAUUAUGGUAAUUGGAAUGGUUCAAACACGGUGCCCAGAGUUGAAGGUCACUGAGGACUAUCACACAUGUGCUGAGCCUACUUUGACAAAAACUGAGAGAAAAUGGAGAGUCUCCAUCAUUAAAGGCAGAUGUCAACCCAAGCAUAAUACACGAGCAAAGUGGUUGACUUUUUGAUACUAUCAUCUACCACAUGAACAACCUUAGGCUCCCAGCUCAAAUCCUGCACAUGGCAAGACCUAUUUUGGCCACAGGCCAACAACUCAACUGGCAAGCAUCAACCUACCGCCUAGGGCUCAAAUGGCCUUAAUUCAAGGAAAGAAGAGCAGAACUUGAAGUUCAACCCCCUCCACACAUAUGGUUAACCUCCUCCACCUAAGAACCAACUGUAGACAAAGUGUUUCAAGAAAGAGGCCUUUUGAAAACAAAAUGCUUUCAAUAUAUUUUAAUUCUCUAUAAGCCUACUCAUAUGAACAUGAUUUACAUGCUUACUAGGAAACUCAAUUCAUAAAAUUCCAGAACCAGAAAGUGCCCCAAAGCAUUUCCCAAACAACUCAAGGAAUUGGGAUUUAUAAAAAGGCAUGGACCAUAGCAAAUAUUAUAUAUAUAAAAAAAAAAUGUACCAUAUCAAAUAUUAUCAAGUCCAAAAAGCAUGGGGCUGCACCACUACAGAAGUUUCUCAAAAAUCCUCUCUGGUCCAUGGUCUCAAGGCAUAUCAAAAUGAGAAAAAUAAAUGGAAGACAGACAAAAAGAAGGCAUCAUUAGCUUAAGAACAUAAUUUUGACUGAAAAAAGGGAUGUACACCUCUGCCAAAGGGUAUCACACUUCAAAAACAAUGAUCACAAAUAUAACAAUUUAUAAUGAUGUCAUAUUCUCAAUAUUUAGUUGAUAGUUUUAAUUUGAACCUCUUCUAAGAAAAGUUUAUUUAGGUUAGUUUCAUUUAAUUUCAUUUCAGUUUUGGUUUGUUCAAAAUACUUGGGUUCAUGCACCUCCAUAAACCAAGUUAUUGAAAGAAUCCAAUACCGACUCACUGAAGAUGCUAUGGUAAUGGAUGCUCCUCUAGAAAGGGCUACCAUUACAACUACGUCAAUUAGUGUUGAAUUUACUAAAUUCAAAUAAAAAAAUUCAACAAACUGGAUAUUUAGAACAAAACAAAUUAAUUGCAACAUAUAUUCCUUGAUUCCAACGGAUGGAUUAGACGGUUAGGAAGAUAAGUUAGCUUCAAUUUACAUGUGGACUUCAUUAAGAUUCAGAUUUUAUCCCCAUAUGUAGUAGAUCCAAGAGCACUUUCGAAAUACGACCAAUUAAAAUCAAUUGACAUUGUCGACCAGAUUCGAGCGCUUCCAAAUUACACGUGGAAUUCAUUAAGAUUCAGAUUUUAUCUGCAUACCUAGAUCCAAGAGCACUUUCCAGAAUACGACCAAUUAGGAUCGAUUGACAUUCUUGACCGGAUUCGAGCACUUGCCAAAUUGGGCAAUUGGAUUGCUCAAACAUAUUUCUGUUAGUUGUUUAUGAUAUUCAUGUUGGACUUUAAAUGCUGCUCCUUGCCCCAUUCCACCCCACACCCCACACCACACACCCAACCCCCCACCCCCACCCCCACCCCCCAGUCUUGGAAAAACAUACAAGAAAUUCCAACACCACCCUAAACACAGCCCACCAUUCCUCAGGCUGCUUGCCAUUUCAACUGUUUUCACUGAAGCUCUUACGUAGUUUUUCAAGCCCCCAACCAGGGAUCUUUAAGUCCCUCAACAAGUUUCAAGCCCCAAACCCUACCCGCAUAAUUUUGAUUUCAGAAUUGAUGAAACAGCACAAAAAAUGAAAAGGAACCCAGAUCAAAUCAACAUGCAUGCUAAUCCCUAAUGUACGAAUCAAAUUAUUGCAAAAUCGAAACAAAAAAAAAGACUUACUUGCAUCAGACAAGCAAAAUUGCCAAACAGAAAACAAAACAUUGUGCCAAAACCACGAUCUGAGAAACAAUACCUAAUUUUUCAAAUACUAAGCAUCACAAAAACCCUAAAGCUAGAAAGCAGACAAAAAACACCAAACAAGCAUGCAUGAGAAAUAGAAAACAACUCUUAUCACCUUACGCUUGAUCUCGUGAAUCGGACUCUGGGAAUCCUCAAUGUCAGGCAUGAAUGUGGCGGGAACCCGACCGGGAUCGGUGAGGAUGGCGACGACGUAGUUGAGGACGCACAUGAACGCCACAGCCGUGAAAGCGAUAGCGUUCAAGAUUCCCGGAGACGUCGUGAGACCGAACCACAUGUCAAUGAAAAUGAAGACGGUGGAGAAGUAAAUGUAAGUGAUUGCGGAGGCGACAACAAAGACGGGAAGAGAGAAUUUGCAGUUGGGAGACAUAUUGGCCCUGGAACGGUCGGAGGCACCGGCGUUGAAACGACGGCGUCUCCAGCAGCCGCUUUGAAAAAGGGAGGGUUUAUCAGGUGAAUGUGGGAGUUGUUGGCCUUUCUCUUUGUUUCCUUUUUAUCUACGUUACUCUUUCUCCUCGUCUUUUCUCUUCGUUUCUGUUCCCUUCUAUUCCGUUCUUGGAAAAUUACAAAAUCAACGUGUUGGGACGGUGGCCUCAGAACUGAGCUGCUCAGUUCUGAGCAAAACCAAAACCAAAACCAAAACAAAAAAACCUCCCCUUUUCCCCCCUUCUCUGAGAAGUUCAUUUAUUUUACCACUGGUAGAGGGGCCCAAAAUAGUAAAAUACCUCCGUACCUGCCACUCAUCAUCAUCGUAACUUCUAAUUUUACUUAACAAUAAUUAAAUUUUCUAACAUUGGAAUCCAAAUUAUUUGCCAUAAUAUAUAUGAAUAAUGAUUAAGCCUUUAAGGAUGAGUUUUCCUAAUUACCAAAAUAUCUUCCUUUCAUAUUCGGUUGAUACAUGAAAGAUACUUUCUACCUAAAUUUAAUUAAUAUACGUGAAAGAUACUAGUGUGAAUACCAAUGAUUAACACAUGCCUUGAAGUGGAGCAUAACAAAUUUACAAAUUUGAUUGAUGAUUGUCCACCUACCAUCUUCUUUCCUUUUACGAAGCAAUAUACAUAUAUACACCCAAAAAUAUCGAAUUCCUAAAGAAUGGAUGACUGAUUAAUUGGGUUCUUUCCUUCAUAGCAUGUGUACGGUGUACCAAAUUCCCCACCAAUUGUUCAGAAAUUGGGUGUGUAGAAAUAGAAUUGAAACAGCAAUCAUUACAAGCUAAAAGGGUAAAGACCCCCUUUUCUUCACAACUACCCUUAUGGGCAUCCAUGUACGAAAAAGCAAAAGGAGAAGAAUUUAAAAAUGGGAAUUAGGAAAGCAAAAAAAAAAGGUCACUGGUUAAAUAUCAAAUUCAACAUUUGGGAAGAUCGGAAGGUGGAGGAGGCAGCUUUUGAUUGGGACGCUUUCCAUCCAUGACAGCCCAGCCCAUCUUCAGGCCCCAGCUGGUAUGGGACCUCCGGAUGGCAGUGCAUGAACCAAACGCCUGUUCCACACAUCAGCCACCAGUUCGCAUACGGUUAAGGAAAUAAAAUUGUGAGGGAUAUCGUAUUAAAAUGGAAAACAAAUAAGUAAGAGUUAUUUGAUUAAAAAGAAUGAAAUAGUUAUCAAUUUGUAAAUUUAAUCUUUUUUUAUGUUUGAUUAUCUCAUUUUUAAUAUAAACAUCUUUUAAUAUUUCAAUUGUUCAUAUGUAAAUUUUAAAAGAAAAGGUUUUCAUUUUAUCGAUAGAUUCAUACGUGAUCUUUUUACUUUCUUCUCUCUUCUUUUUUUAAAGCUUCAAAUAGGAGAUGUAGAUUUACACAAGAAAAGUGAUUACAACAAUCUCCUUUUAGAGUUUUUAUAAAGCUGGUGGUGGGUUUUGGUUAACUAAUUUUUAAUAUAAAUAUCCUUCAACAUUUCAACUAUAUAUUUAUAUGUAAAUACCAACUUUAGUGAACAAAACAGAGGUCAGUAGCCUCAUGUGCAGUCUUUUGAGUUGCAGUAGCCUGGGAAUAGGGCCCUAUGGAGCGAUAGUAGGCAGAACAAUGGGGCUUGAAGCCCAUUUUUUGGCUCUAUAUUUGGAUCUUUUUCUCUUGAUUCAGAUGCAUGUUUUCCUUAUUACAGCUUUUAAAGCCAAAACUUUCCAUCUAUAGAUUGAUAUCAUGUUUCUCACCUUUAUUACACCUCCUUGUUUAUUAGGAAACAUAUAUCUUGAUUUUAUAGCCUUGAUAUGUGUUAGCAUGCAUGGGUUGCAUCUUGAUCUUGUUUUUUUUUUACUAUUUUUCUCAUUAUCUUGAUUUGAUUAUCUAGUUUAUAUAUUUUCCCACACACCACUUAUCUUGAGUAUAGGUGAUUUUGUAUAUGUAGGUAACAAGUAUUGGGAUAUUUCACCGAACUCGAAUCCAUCAUUUAGUUUUUUGUAUGUAUUUGGAAUUAUUAGGUUUAGAUGAGUGUUAUAUAAAAUCCGAAUGAGUGUUUUAAUGGGUUUAUGUAACUUAUGUUUUGUUACAAAAUUGUUAAAGAAUGGGAUAGUUAAGACAAUAUGCUUUCACUUUUUUUGUUGGCAAUUUUGUUCAUUUUCAUUCUGGCUUAGAACAUUUUUAGAUAAUAACUUACCCUCUAUUGAAAACUUGAUGUUGUUGUUCAUUUAAAUGAAAUGUCACAAAGGUAAGUCUAAAAAGGCUUGUUAAAGACAAAUUAGAAUUUGAGAGGGAAUGGAUUAGGUUAGUUUCUCAAAUUUGAGCUAAACAUGUUUUAUUUUUAAGCUUUGGAGAAAUAAGACCACUUAUGCGUUGGCCAAAGCGCUUGACAUUGAAGCCACCACUCAAGCGAUGGCUAAGUCUCUUUCUUUGAAAGAUAACACCACUACCUUCGUCCCAGUGUUUAUAUUGAUUGGUGGAGUGUUUAUGUAAUUGAAUUUGAAGGGAGGUUAGCUCGGAAAUCGGUGGUAUACAUGCCCUUGGACUUUCCGAAGAAUUGAACUAGAAAAAAUGUUGUGUAACACAUUGUUGAUGGCAGUUGCUACCCUCAUGUUGUUGAGUACUGGGUGUUGGUGCUCAACCUUCCUAGAUACUGUGAUCCAUUGACUAUUAGGGUUACUAACCAACUUCUAAGUAUCAUCCAUUCUAUCGAUGGGUGUCUUAGCUAUUCAAGACCAGAAUCUAUUUUUUCUCUUGUUCUUCAUUUUUUUUUAUAGGCUUUCCAAGCCCACUCUUGAUUGGCUAGGUGAGUCAGCUUUUUUCUAGUGAAGUGGCAUGUCGAGAAUCAAACGUUGGAGACCAUUUUCCGCUUAUAAUUGGUUGGGCAGAUCUAUGUUAAGCGGCAUGUGGUUGAACCCCCUGGUGUCCUCUACUAAUGUGAUAAGACAAAGUUCAUUUUCAAAAUUCAUUCAUCAUACAUGUCUUGUCAUAACCCUUGGUGUCUGUGCCAUGUGAGCCAUGCGGGUAGUGGAGUACUUUCUUCCCGGUACCCCCAUGUUAAGCUCUUCUAGGCUUGACCAAGGUGAGUUCUUGGGCAACUUCAGGCGUAAGCAGACUUAGAAGUUUUCACACUCAAGAGAACUUGCUCAAAUGAUGUGAUUCUAUACUUCUUCUCGAUAUAUGUUUUGGUUCCUGCCAAGAGGCAUCAAUUGUAGCAAAAUUUACCACCUGACUUGAACAGGUGGACGAACCCACAGGUUGGCCAUCUUAUAUGCCUGGUACCUUCAAUGCCCUAUUUUGUGACCAAGUGAGUUGAGUACAACUUAGACAAGAAACCUUUGUACUGUUGUCCCAUAGGGAGAUAGUUAGUCACACACACGUCACUUGAAUGGUUAUGACACUUGGGAAUUUGCAUGAGACGACACAAUGAUGGCAGGUGUCUGGCUUGGUUGUUGCGUUGCAUUCAAUGUGUCUAUAACAUUUCUCAUUCUGUUGAUAAGAGAAGUGUUUGGACCUCAAAGCGUAUUUUUUGCUUUGCAUUGCUUCACCAACAUGGUUUUUUCUAUUAAACGCAUUUUGAGUGCCUUGAACUUUGUUGUGUUGUGGUCUUGGUACUGCGCUCAAGGUGAGUUUUUUUUUUUGCUUUUAUGUGUCAUCCCCACUAAUGAAAGUGGUUGGGGUUGGGGUUUUUUAAGGAGCACUGGUCAAAACUCUAUGGGUGGCAGGGUUGCAUUCUUGGGUUUGUGUGGAAUGUCUACUUUUCUUGGGCGUACGUGCGCAAGAGUGGGGUAGUGUUGUCUUUUCUCUUGGCUUUGGCUAGGUUAGCAUUCCUCAGUAGUGGUCUUACAGUGUGGUGUGAUGAUAAGUAGUUCUAGAGCUUUCGAGAAUGUCAUCGGAGUCUGAGAGCUAGGUGAAUGAGGAACAACCCUUGAUUAAUCGUUGACUAUGAAUGACCUUGUUGGGCACGAUUGCCCGCAAGCGUUGUAGGAUGGUGUUAAGUGCAAAACUAUCUAAGGUUAAGAUUGAGUCAUUGAUAGAAAAGUUUCACACUCGGUAUACUAUACCGGAUGAUGUGUAAGUUGUUUUCUCGACGAACCUCAAUGACCUCGAUCGACAGUGAAUUCCUCAUUUGAGGAAAUCUUCCUUACUUGAAAGCAAUUUCGAGCGAACCUUCGGUUACCAUUGUCUUUCUUGGUGAGGCAAUUCUUGUACCACAAAGGGAUACAUCCGGUGCAUAUGCACUCAAACACUAUGCACAUACUUAGAGGUUGCGCGAUGUUGAACAGGCUUUACGCGUUGGACCUCUUGGAACUUGAGGUAUUGUUUAUGUACAUUAUUCGACUAAGGGCAACUAAAAGGUUUACUCUAUCAACACAAUGUUGUGUUUUUCAAUUUGUUACAAAAUUAACGAAUUCCAAUAAGGGUUGAGUGAAAGGAAAUGUACUUGUCUCCGGGGCUUGGGAAAUGCCCGUGGGUAACCUUAACAAGGAUAUCCGGGUGAACCGGUCAAUUGUGUAUCUGGGUACUAACAUUUGGUUUGUCUUUUUUUUUUCAACAUUUUUUUAAUAGCGAAUUUGUUGCAGAUUAGGAGAAACAAGGAUGCCUCACUGAGUGGGUCAAGAAGACAUCUUUUGACCAUAUCUACCAGCUGCUGAACAUUGAGACGACUCAAAUGAGUUACCAGAUUCUACUAACUACUAUGAAUUUACUUGAUGUUUAGUAACACCCAAAAUGAUUCAUAUGACUCAUUUUACUUAAAAAAAACACCUCGUUUAGCAUUGUUAAGGGAACAUUUUGUGCCAAAUGAUAUAAAGCGUUACGAUGAAGCUCGCACAUAAGAAUUUGAAGCGUACCAAAGACUAAUAACAAAUAGGGAUCAAAAGUGACAAGAGGGCAUGCUUCGACAAAUACAAACCCAACAAACUACUUACAUAAAGUCAUUUCAGUGAGCUUCUGAAUUUGUCCGAGUGGCACAAUCAUCGAGCAAGGUAGCAUCGUCUCACUUGGCUAGCUCAACGUAUACAUGAUGGAGUUAGGUUCUUUACUCACUAAGACAGAUGAACAAAAAAAAAAAAAAAAGACUUCUUGCCUCAUGAAGGUUCGUUAGGACCCUAGGGUGACACUCCCAAGGAUAGCUCCCUACCCUAUCUGGUAAUCGAGAUAUCAAACUCUCCCCACCGGUCUAAAGAAAUUCAUCAAACUAAUCUGACCAUUGUAGCAUUAGCAGUUGAGAACCCUAUUGUGCAGGUCCAGCCAAGUUUCUCUUUAGGCAUGCUCGUGACAACUUAUGUCAUGAAGACUCUUUCUUUAGGAUGUGCUUAUUACCAUGCUGCAAUUUUCUACCUAAGAGUUGGGUGUGCUGGUAAGAAGUUCAUCGUUGUUAUUUGGUGUGUUUGAGGGCAAAUUUAGUUUUUCCAUAUUUUUACGUUUUUCUUUCUUAUUUUUGUUUUGUUUUUUUUUUGUUUUUUUUUUUUUUUUUCAUUUUUAGAUGAAGUAUGACAUCGAAGAUUUCGGGUAUGAGAGCAAGCUUCGCGGUUGUAUUGUUGACAUUGAUUGAUUAAGGUGUUGCACAAGAAAAUGUGGACAAUCACGCUCAGGAUCUCACUGAUAAGCUUCAUGUGAGAAAAACUGGGAAACUAAAAAUAAAACAAAUGUUGGAGGAAGAAAACUAGAAAUAUUAGUCUGAACUGGACAAAUCUCGAUAGGAACGCACUUGGCUAGAGAAAUGGGUGGUAGGGCUUCGUGAGAAACUAGAGAAUACAUCGUAACAAUUGAGAGAACUUAUUUCCCAGUACAUUGUGAAUAUGACUUGAGCUAUAAAAGGUAUUUGAAGAAGCAUAACAUUCAAAAUGACUAGAACACCAACAAUAAGGAUAAUGUUAGGGAUGCUAGAGCUAAUGAAGAGGUGGUGGUCGUGCCGGAGUGGGGGCUUCCAAGCCUAGUGGGGAAAUGUGAUUUUGGACUUUGUUUUCUUUUGUGCUCGCUACUAUGCAAUUUUUUCUUUAAACUGAUUCCCAUUUUUUUUUUGCUACUAAGACAUGGUUUUGUAUAUUUUGCUAUUUUUCUUUUUAGGAUACCUUGAUUGCAUUAUAAUUUGACAUGACUAUCUUAAUUGUAUUUCAAAGUUUGUUUUUUUAAUUGUAUUAUGGUAGGCCUAGUUGGGUGUUUCUUGGAGCCUAAGGCUUGUUGAGGCUUGACUGGGUGCCUUUUGGCACCUAAGUGUCACAGGAUGCUUCAAAUAAGCCUCUCCAUGGGCUUAUAUAGGAGGAGGGAAGCUUCUGGAGACUCCUGGAGCCAUCUACACUAAGUCAUUGGUGGGAAGAGUGUAGAAGGUUCUAGAGAUGCCUAGAGAUGUCCACACAUCUCUACACUAUGGUGGAAGGCAUGAGAGGAGUCCAAGGCUUUCUAGAAGAUUCUAAAGAUCUCUUGCAUAUUCUUGUAACAUAGGGUUGUACAUAGAUUAGUGUAGGGAGUUCUAGAAUAUUCUUGAUUUGUAAGGAAACCUCCAAGGUUCUAGAUAGUUUCAUUGGUGCUUAUAAAUAGGUGAGGCCUUCAUUUGACCAAGGCACCACCCAAAUCACUUCCUAACCAAGCAAGUGAGUCUUCAAAGCACUUGUAAAGGCUUCUUUGAGUAAUAAGAGCUUCCAUUCUCUAAGAGUUGCCUACUAAGCUUCUUAAUCUUUCGAGUCGCGAACGUCUUAGCCUAGCAAGCUAAGCAUUGGGAGCAAGGCUGACUUAACAAGAUCAAGCGUCUUGACUUGCCUAAGUGCCGCACGAGCUUAGUGAACGACUAAGUCCGUGACAUAAGGCUUUCUAAGGCAUUAGGCUUGGUGAGAUGUUUCUUAGCACCUAAGGCUUAUUAAGGCUUAGUUAAGUGUUUUUUGGCACAUGAGGUUUUUUUGGGCACCAGGCUUGGUCAAGUGUUUUUUUGGCACCUAAGGCUUAUUGAGGCUUGGUCGGGUGCUUUUUAGUACCUAAGGUUUUUUUGGAGCGUUAGGCCUAGCCUGAUAUUUCUUGCCCUAUUGGGCUCUACAUGUGUUACCUGGUAAGGCUCUUUCCAGUUAGGGCUGAGUUUGUCAUCGUCAAACUCUUUCAUAUUUUUAAAAACAUGUCAAACGACUUCCUUGAGAGAAAACUUCCUACUAUGGACCUUCAUGUUAUACUAUUUCAUGACCCGUUGAUGAUAAACAAUCAUUUGAAUGGUGGCCUCAUCCUAUCUCUUAUCAACAAGGUCCAAGGAAAACUCGAUUGAGGACAAGUGGGCAUCUUCGUUUGCUAGAAUUGUCCAUUCUAUAGGUAAACCAAUUUCGGUUAGAAUGACAACCUCCAUCCUAAAGACUAGGGAGAAAGAUGAUUCUCAUGUUGGUUUCCCCAACAUUGUUCGGUAGGCUCAAAGGACACUUAGGAGCUCUUCGAGCAACUUGCCUUUGGCUUUUUCCAUUCGUUUUUUCAGACAACCUAAUGUGGUAUUAUUAGUGGUCUUAGCUUGGUCAUUGCUUUGCGAGAAGUGUGGUGUAGAAUAGAAGUUCCUAAUAUUGAGGUCAGUGCAAAAUUUCCAGAAAAUGUGGUUGUUGAACUAGAUGUCGUUAUCAACUAAUGCUUGGAGGAUGUCGAAUCUACACAUUAUUGUUUGUCAUACGAAGUUCCAUACGUCAAUAUCCUUGAUGGUGGCAUAAGUUUUUGCAUCGGCCUAUUUUGAGAAGUAGUUUGUAGCUAUCAAGAGAAAUUGUUUUCGUGUAGAAUCCAUAGGUACAGUGGGCCAACGAUGUCAAGUCCCCAUUGAGCGAAUGACCAAGGGCUCAUAAUAGAUGUAAGUUGUUUCGCUAGGAGGUGACAUACUGGUGUAUACUGUUAGCAUUUGUCGUAUUUUUGAAUGUCCGCAAUAGUGUCCUUGUGAAUGGUGGGCCAAAAGUAUUAGGAUAGUAUUUUAUGCGCCAAUGAUUUCCCAUUAUUGUGGUUGUCGUAUUGAUUUUCAUAAAUUUCAACAAGUACUUGGUCUCAUAAUUUCGUACACAUUUAAGGUAUGACUGAUUAAAGCCAAAAUAUGUGCUUUAAUGACACAAAUUCAAUAUGACUUGUGCACCAAAGAACAUUCAAAUCACCCAAUUUGACCUAAAUAAAUGCUAAGGCCCUAGCCAUAAAUUUAACUUGUACUUUGGAGACUUAUCUUAUGUUUAAGGGAAGAAAAGGGUGUCAGUUGAAUCACUUUAGAUUUUUAAAGAUAAAAAAUGGCUAAAUGGGAAAAUAAGUGAGUCAAGACUUAUGGACCAUGAUAAAAAGAAAGACGAGGAUAUCAUGAGUUUGAAAGAUGAGAAAUGACCAUUAUGGAGUAAGAAAGAAGGCAAGAAAACAUGAGAAAUGAGGCAUGAAGUAAGAUUCAACUACAUGGAAAUUUGGAACUCAAAAUUUGGAGGUAACAUGUACUCUAACUUUGAGGACAAAUUUGGAGUACUUCCCAAAGUCCAUUUAGACAUACUACAUAUAUCGUUUCGAAGCUCGAGAAGUCAGGAGUCCAAUGCUUCAAACGAUGUACAAAUCAAAAUUGAAAUGAAUAAGUUAUGGUCAUUUGAAGACAACUAUGCAAAGUUGAAGGGUCAUUUCGAAAUGAUUUCGAAAUUCAACUUAUGAAUUCGAAAUGACCCCAAUUCGAAUUCACCUGCUUCCACUUUGAUGUUUCACCUCCUCUACCUCAUGAAUUGCAUCUAGGGCACUUCAUCCGCCCUAAGUGGGCCUCACACAGCUAGAAAUCACCAUUUUAUUAUUUUUUAAUCAUUUUUAGAUAAUUAUUUUGUUAAUAAGUGGCCAAUGAGAGUGUGCCACAUGUUAGGUAAUUGAGAGUAUUAUAUAAACUCUCUUAGUUCUAGGUUUUAAGGAACUUGGAUAUUUAUUUUUUUUCGGAGAGUUUGACAUUGAAAGUGGAAGAAUAUGAGAACUUUGGUUUAUUUACUUAUUUAUUAAAUAUAUUGUUUUUAGUUUCUUUUGAUUCAAAUUAUAGAUUUUUACCUUAUUAUGGAUUGUAAACGUGACGUCACACCCAUGAGAGGCUAAGAAGUCAACUUGGGGCUUGAAGCAUGAAAACCUAAGGGGUAGGAAAUCUAUAGGGAUAAUGGGUAAAUUAUUGUAAUAAUGAGAUUAAUUAUUGGUUUGGUAACAAUUUAUCAUUUUUUUUAUCCUAUCCUUGUGAGUUAGUUUAAGGAGCGAUACGGUAGAUUAUUACACGAUACUAGUGAUUCUUGGUAAUUAUUGAUCAUUAGUUAUCCUCGUCUUCCCUAUCGUUAUUUGCCCCAAAAUAAAGCUAUAAGGAGUAAGAAUGGUUAAAAAGCCAAAUCUUAAACUGGUAAUCAAUCUCAUUCAUUUGAUAGCAUUAAGAAUCUAUUUUAAAAAGCAAAAAUUAAGUUUUAGAUGUAAUUUUGAGUUCUUGAUUGCGAACGACCAAGAAUCCCAAAACCCUAAUAUCAUAUUACUUAAAAUUAGGUUGGAUUGUGGAAAACCCCAAACUUGAAUCAAUAUCACAUUAUUCACAUAUUGUUUUUCACUUUAGGAUUUAAACAAAAUCAAUUCAUUUAUUCUAAUAUUGACAAUUUCCAUAAACCAGUCAUUGAGGACGAUACCCAGAGUACUACAAAAGUUAUAGUAACUAUUUCUCUAGUUUUUCUCAACCAAAGUUACUACGUAAAAGGGCUAAGUAUUUUGGUACAAUAGAAAAGUUUGGUAAAUGACCCACCAUACGAGUGUCUGUUUAAGUGGUUAUUGAUCAAGCAAAAGUGAACGGCAUUUACCGGAGUUUAUGAGCUUUCUUUUCAUCAUUUGAGACCAUGUCAUUCCUCAAAUACUUGAUAUGUGGGUCCAUUUAUGAGCUAGCAGGAGUGUUGAAGACAUUUACCAAUUCUUUCAUCCCCAUAAAAGAGAGUUCCUUUAAAAACUCAAUCGACAAUGCUCAACUCUGCUUGCUUAGAUAGGAGAGCCUAAAUUAGCGAGAUGACUAUCCUAGUCGUUCUCCUCUCACGACACUAAUAUGAAACUGACAUAAUCGAACCAAGAAGUUUUCCUAUUUAUGACAUCUAAGUAUUUGGCCAUUCUUUCGUCGUAUGUUUCAUAGCGUCAUUCUACUUGAUUGACAAUGAGUUAGGAGUCACUGUGAACAUCAAGCCUCUUUACCUUCAAUUGUCAGGCCAUCCUUAAUUCUGCCAACAACUCUUCAUUGUUGGAUGUCAGAAACCUUAAUUUGAUGGAUUGUUGUAGCUCAUCUCCAAUAGGGGACCCAAGGAAAACUCCAACUCCUCAUCUUUUUUAAGAGUCAUCCACAUAGAUAAUCCAUGUUUCACUGGUCUUGUUAUUCCUAUCUUUAAGCUUUGGGUUCUCAUCUCUGACAAUCUCAAUGAUGAAAUCUGCUAAUACUUGGUCUUUGAGGCUUUGACACAAUCUAUAUUCAAUCUCGAACUCACCUAGCUUGAUGACCUACUUGAUCAACUGACUAGAUAGAUCUAGCAUGUGUAACACUGACCGCACGGGUUGAUCUAUGAGAAUGAUAAUGGCAUGCGCCUAACAGUAUGACCUAAGUUUCUUAGUUGCAGUGUGUAGUGCAAGGGCCAUUUUUUAGAGCUUAGAGUAUUGCGUUUCAAUGUUAAGAAAAGUCUUGUUGACGAAGUAAACGGGUCAUUGGACACCUUGCUCAUCUGUCCGAAUCAAAGUUGAGCUCAUGACUACACUUGUGGCUGUUAGAUACACAUAAAGCUUUUCACCUUCACGUGUGGUUGAGGAUGCGGGAAUGCCAAAUAGGUUUUGAUGGCCCUAAACGCUCAGUUGCACUACUUAUUUCAUUUGAACUUAUUUUUCUUUCUAAGCACUUCAAAAUAAAUGUUGCAGCUUAUUAAAUGACUAUGAGAUGAACUAGUUAAGGGCUGUUAGCCUUCCUAUUAGCCGUUGGACCUGAUUGACUGUUGUUGAGGGGAUAAUUUCCUACAGGGCUUUGAUCUGCUACAGGUUAGCCUUUAUUCAUUGCUUCAUUACCAAGUAACUGAGAAAUUUGCUAGCUUAUACUCCUAAUGCACGUUUUUCUAGAUUCAACAUUAUGUCAUAGUUGUGAAGCAAAACGAAAACUUCUACAAGGUCUUAGAGGUGGUUUUACUUCAAUCUACUUUUGAUCAGUAUUGUUGGGUACCCUGGAUUACUCCGUUCCCAUGCCCUGGAUCAUGUAGGGUGCAUGCAAAUUUAUCAUAGACUCUCUAAAUCUAUCAUAGUGGAUAAACAUGUAUUCAAAAACAAUAUAGAUACCAUAGAAAACAUAGAUCUAGAGAAUAAAGUCAUAUACCUUUAAUCCAGAUGUUCCCGGAUCAAUUCCAAUCGAUGUAGAUAACUCUAAAGUCAUAAUAGAUCUCAUAAACACCAUGAUCUUCUGCUCGAUGACUAUUCCUUGUAUCUAAGCACUAAGAUAGUGAAUAUCUCAAGGGUGAAGGCUAAGGUUCUUUCUCUAGACUGAAAUGAGAGACUAACAAGACCUGAAAACCCUAACCCCUAAAGAGGUAUUUUUAAGCUUCUUAUUUGACUUAAGUGACUUAAGCCCACCAUGGGCUUAGGUUACUUAAUCUAGCUUAAAAAAGUUGCUAAUUGAUUAAUACCACUCACUUAUCCUUAUGCAACCUUACGUAAUUAUCAAAACGCCUUCAUGCAUAAAAGUGAAAUUAAAAACUCAUCCAACCCUCAUAAGUCGUGCCAACAAGGUAUAUAAGCUUAGAGUGAGGACUACUAGGACCCAUAGGAGUAUUGGAUCCCUCAUAAUCAAAUUCUGAAAUUGACUCAACAUCUCACUAUAGAGAGUUAACUACACCCUAGUACCCUAUGUAUAUUACAAUGGGAUACCAAGUGUUCAAGUUUGUGACCUACUAUCCAUUGCAUGCAGACUUCCCAUGAAUUGGUGUUCAUAAUCUAACAAGAUAAUACUAUCACCUAUCAAGAUUACCUCUCAAAUCCUUGAAUUACAGAUCUCACUUAUUAUGUAAUCAAAUGACAUACUCUAAUUUUAAAGAGCAUAUGUCAAAUUCCAUUAAAAAAAAUUAUUGUGACCAUAGAUUUUAUGAUCACAUGCCCUUUGGAUCACCCAAUAGGACACACUGUCUCAAUCUCAUAAGAUAUCAUGGUGCAUUUAUUGAGAAUACCUAUUAUCAUCAGUCUCUAUCAACAGUGACCCAAUCUAUAGGGAAAUAUGACAACUUUAGGGUCUCACCCAUAAGUCAAAGUCUCUUGUUGAUUUUGACACAAACUCAAUAUUUUCUCAAGGUUGAGAGUCCAUGUAGUAUAGUAGCUUUAUGAAUCAUGACAAUUGAUAGUCUUGUGUCAUGAUUCACCGUAGGUCUUGUCUAGUGUGCAUCACAUAUACUAGUACACUCACCAUGUGAAACUCAUUCCGACAGGUAAGACAAGUCAUCCAUCUAAUUAGGAAAUAGUGCAUUGCAAUCUUUAUUGGAUUGCUUAAAUCCAUGAACCAACUGUAAGCAACUUAUCUACUUAUAAGGAACUCAUGACUUGUAUAUCCUAUGCAACUUUUAAUGCAUGUACAAUGUAAGAGACAUGAGUUGAAUGCCCAUAUGAAUGUCAAUACACCAAAUGGAUAAGAGAUAUUUAAGUCUAACUUUGUUAUAUCAUGUCUUGCAGGGACUCAAUCCUAACAAGUAUAUUGUCAAUAUAGACUUCUACGUUUUUUUUCGAAUAAGGGUUGAAAUAGUUUCGUCACUAGUCAUCAAUAAAUUGCUCUAGUGUUCCUCAAACCAAACGACAUUAUAUUGUAAACCCGAAUAAGGCUAGUAAUGAAAGUCAUCUUCUUCGCAUCUGGUGCGUAUAAUGGUAUUUGAUUAUACCUGAGAAAAACGUCCAAAACUGAGAACUUGUGGUUUGUCGUGGAAUCAACUAUUUGGUCUAUUUGAGGAAAAGGAAAACUGUCAUUCAAUGACGUCUCGUUGAGAUAUGUGAAGUCAACGCACACAUACUAUUUACUAUCUUUUUUUUCAAGACCACAACCACAUUCACCAACCAUUUCGGGUACUGCAUAACCACUUAAUGAAUUCAAAUGAAUUCAACCUUAAGCAAUCGGUUCACUUCUUCUGCAAUGAUCUUGUAUUACUCUUUAUGGAACUUGCAUAGUUUCUACCUUACUAGACACUACCUUUUCUUAACAUUCAGGUGGUAGCAAGCUACAGAGAGGUGAAUCUCCUUCAAGUCUGCAUGCUUCCAUGCGAAAACAUUUGUGUUUUCCUCCCAGCAACUGAGUAAAUUUUUUCUUUUCUUUGUAUGAUAACAUUUUUCCCAGAAACACUUUUUGAUUGGAGUCAUCAUUGAACAAAUCGACGGCUACUAAUGGCUCAAUGAUCAAUAAUUCUCACUCGUCCGAUCUAGGGUAGGAAUCCUUCUGUAAUUGUUAUUUUUUCUCAUAAAGACUUCAUUCUCUAAUGUUUGUGUUGAAAACUGGAAACGUUGACACUUGAUAGCAUCAUUGCAAGGACAUCUAAUCUCUAAAGAUUACUAUUUUUGUUCCCAAAUGGUCAGAUAACUUACUUUUUGGUGGUAAGUUGAUGGUAUGAUUUUCAUGUCAUGGAUCAAAGCUCUACCAAGAAUCACAUUAUAUGAAAAAUGCUUGAACAUCAUGUUAACAAGUCCUACAAACACAGAAAGCAUGAUGUCGCCUAAGAAAAUGGUGAUUGAGAUGUUGAAGCCCAUCAACGCCUUCCUGGGACUUUCUAGCACAUUCAUUGAGAUGUUCAUCUACUUGUAGGCGAAUAUAUGCAAAAAAUUCACGAAACUCCCUUGGUUGACUAGUAAAGAAUACACAUUAUAUUCGACAACAUUCAAUGUUAAUAUGAGGGAAUCUUCAUGCGAUUGAGUGAUAUGUAAUAAGUCUGCUUCGAAAAAUACAAUAGUCUCGUCUAUUGGAAUGAGGCUCUUGGGAACAAACACAUUCCUUACAUUGAAGACCUCAUACAUGUUCUAUAUUUUUCAUCAAGGUCUUCACAUGUUGUUUAUUCCUUCAUUGGCUAUCGAUCGACCCCCCAUGUAUGACAUAGAUCACCUGUUUAGGCUCGAUACCAAUUUUGAGGGUUAAUUAGCAAAGGAUAGCAGGUUCUGUUCGACUGUGGAAAUACUUGUUAAGUAGACCGUCUCACACAAUCUGCUCGACCUGGUAAUGGAGGUGGCAACACCUUUUAAUGGUAUGGAUCUUGUCUUUAUGGAACUCGUAAAAGCAAUUCUAAUAUAUUUGACUCACUUCUUCCACAUGGGGUUUGGCCAACAGAAGCCAUCUAGACUCUGUACCACCGACAAUAGUUGGUUGUAACUGAGCAUGAGCUUCAUGAACUGGAGUGUUGACUUAUCUUCUCAGUUUUAGGCUUUAAGAUUCCCUCUUAGUUGGCUUCCCCUACCUCCUUUGUCGUUUGAUGCAUUUGUUGGGUCGGUUGCUCUUGUUUUUUUAAGAUAGUCUCCUUUGUUGGGUCGGUUGCUCUAGUUUUGUUAAGAGAGUCUCUUGGGAUGCCGUAAUAAUUUAUUGGAACACUGCUCUGAGAUCAUCUUCAAGCAUGACGUACUUGUUGACUUUGCGAGAAAAAAAAAUCAUCCAUUGUUUCUAGUGGUUUCUUCGAAAUAGGCUCAAAGAAGAGGUUUCUAGGAUGAUACUUCCUUUAAAGGCCUGCAUAAUCGCAUCGGUGGUACAUGGAUCCAUUUGGAUCAAGAUUUGCCCAAAUCUCUGCAUGAAAUCUUAGAAGGACUUAGAUUCCUACUUCUACCUGACAAAUCAUAAGUGAUAUGCUACAAAUACUUCCAAUAGCUCUCUGAACUCUGAAGUCAUUGAUUGAAUUGCUUGGGAGUUGGUGAAACCAGGUAAGGGUAGAUAUAUGGAGACUAGCUGGGAACACCUUGCAUAGAAGUGCGUCGUCGCCCACAUCCAGGGUCAUCACUUGGCGAUAGUGCAUGAAGUGGUCGAAGGGGUUUCUGGUACCAUCAUACAUAAUGAACUUUAGUACCGCGAACCCUAGAGGAUGUCUUUGCUAUACGAUAUAGAAAGCUAAAGACAUCGACAACAUAUCAUCAAGAAUGCAAGAGGUAGUCUUGAGAGGUGCUUUCUAGGGGGAGGAGGCCUCGCACGAAUACACCACAAGUCAUGUCCACGAUUAGUUGGUGUCUUUUGGGUAGCACCUCUUGGUUCUCCCUUGAGUGGGUGUUGGUGGCUACUACUUAGGGCAUUCUUCUCUCAAGGCUUGGUGGUCACGCAUCCCAACUUUAGGAUUUUUGCUUCCAAACGGAUCAACCCAUUUGGUAGGCCCAAGAAAUUUUUUUUAAUAGCUUCACUAGUGCUUCUUCACCUACUGAUAACACCUGGGUAAUUGCGUUAAGCUGGCUGUUAAGAUCAUAUUCUUUCUUUUCAACUAAUUAGUGGUUUUUCUUAGUUCAUCCAACUACCUUUGGUACUUAGUCAACUAGAGUUUAAGUACUCAUUGUUGCUGCUCAUCAGUUAUUGGGGUGACAAAUGUAUCAUUAGCAUGGUUAGUUGCUUGUGUAAUCACCAUGGUUGGCUUUUUGUUUUUAUACCAUGGACGAUGCCAAUUGUUGGUGUUUAACCAUCCUAGAUGCGAUAAUCCAUUGACUAUUUGAGUCACUAGGCAAUUUCUAAUUAUCACCCCCAUCUAUUGAUGGGUGUUUUGGCUAUUCAGGACCAGGAUAUAACUUUUCUUUUCCAACUGACCAAGUGUCUGGUGCAUCAGUGUGCCUUCCCCGCACUGAUGUGAGCCCAUGCCAUGUCUAGGUGCCCAUGGCCUGAGCGUGUUGCUUGCUUCCACUAUUAGGUCCAACUCCAUAGCAACGAGCCAUGGCAUUGCGCCCAUGGCUGAUCCCUCUUGGUGCACAGGACAUUGCGCCCCUGUGUUGUACGUAGGCAUCAUGGGUGCGAGUCAGUUGUUGUCUAAGUGCCCCAUCAGGCCAUGGCAUUGCGCCCAUGGUUUCCUCAGCUGGCUCACCGCACAAGGUUUAGGUGCCCUCGUGUGAAAUAAUACAAGUUGGGAAAUGUUUCCCAUAAUCGUUUAUGUCCAUUUUACUUUGUUUUUCUGGAAGCUGGGAAAGAAGGUUGGCUAAAUAAGGGUCCUUAGCACCGCACACUCGUGAAAAAAUUAUUUUUCAUUUUUCUUUAUAGGUUUUCCAAGCCAACUCCUAAUUGGCUGGGUGAGUCAACUUUUUUCUAAGGAAGUGGCAUGUCGGGAGUUAAACGUUAGAGAUUGUGUGGUGCUUAUGAUUAAUUGAGUAUAUCUGAGUUAAACGGUGCAUGGUUGACCCCUCUGACACCCUCUAUUGAUAUGACAGGAUAAGGUUCCCUUUGAGACUCAUUCCUCGUACGUUUCUUGUCACAACCCUCAAUAUCUACACCAUGUGAGACACAUGAGCAAUCUAAUACUUUUUUCUCAAUGCCCCCAUGUUGAGUUCUCCUAAGCUCGACCAAGGUGAGCUCUCGAACAAUUUCAAGUAUAAGAAACCCAUAAGCUUUCACGCUUAGGAGGACUUGCUUGGACGAUGUGGUAUUGGGCAUAGAAGACGACCAAUCCGAUUUUUAUAGGGAUGACAACCUCCAUCACAUAAGCUAGCAUGAACGAAAUUGCUUUUAUUGGUUUUCACAUGGUUGUCCUAUACGAUCAUAAAACUCCCGAAAACUCUUCCACCUAUUUUCCUUUAGCUUAUUCCAAUAUAUUUUUUAACAUCCCAAGCAAAGUCUUUGGGCUUGCUUUUAAUUAGAGAUGAAGGAUAAGGAGCAUAUUGAGUUGUUGUUGGCAAACUCCAUGUUAGAAGAUGAACUAAAAUCCCUUAGUGCUAAGACCAUGUCCUCUCCUUGACAUGUUUGUUUGAGAUCUAAGUUUUAUUACCUCAUAAGGGAGUGAUAGGUUAAAGGGAAGGUUGAAUGUUUCAGAAGCCUGGAGAAGGGUUUCAUGUGCUUUUUUAUUUUCUUCCUAUUGCUUGCCUAGUUUAUUCAUGAGCUACAACAAUCUUUCUUUUGUUGAGAUCUUAAUAUCAAUAGUUUGUUUUUCAAAUGUCAUCCCUCAAUUAUAGAUUUUUUCUUUCUAUUUCCCAUGGACGACACCUAAUAUUAUGUCUCUAAAAAUACUUUAAUUUAAUAUUUCAAGUAUCUAGUAGAAGGUUACUAAAAAAAAUUAUGUGUUUUAUAAGAGUUGAACCUCGUAUUUGCUUGUAUGCGAGAAUCACUUUGGGAGAAAGUCAAGUCUCGUAUUCCCAAAAGAACGAAUUUUGUGCCACAAUACCAAGUUAGAAUAAAUCAAGUUACCAAUGCACGAGUUUUCCAUGCCCCUUUCAAAUGACAAGAAGAUUUUGUAGACAAAAAAUAGACUAUGUUUUGUUCAUUUAGAAAAACCAAACACUUUUAUACCAACUACCUUAUCCUCGCGUAAUUGGAAUGAUCCAUUUCUUAAUCAUCCAUAGCUCAUUAAAAUUCAAAAUAAAAAAAAAAUCAUAAUGCAAAGAUGAGCUAACAAAAUAUAAUACCUACAUUAUGGAAAAAAAAAAUCAAAAUAAAAGAAUUUUUUAAGGAAAAAACAUAUAAAAAUUAUAAUGGAUUCAAAGAUAAAAAAAUCAACAAAUAAAAUAAUACCACCACAUUUAGACUGUUUCAACAAUAACAACUUGAUUCUCUCCAAAAAUCAAUUAUUUGGCUGUCAUUCUCACUCUCACUCCCAAAAAUCAGUUAGGAGGAUUAAUUAUUUGAUAUUUCCAAAAAUGAUAAUUUCAAGAACUUAUGAAAAAAUUAUAGUAAGUAAAAUUCAAGAAUCCAAAUUUUUUUUAAUAAUUUAAUAUAAGAAAACAUAUAUUACCUUCACAUUCUUUCAUAAAACAAAACCUCUUUACACCAACGUCUUAUCUGGUCCUAAAAUUGGAUUGAUUCAUAUAUUAUUGUUCAUAGCAUUAUUCAGAAAUGGAAAGUGUUCAACAGCCCAAAACAAAAUUAUUAGAAAGAAAAUAUCUAUACGAAUUCAACAAAAAACUAAAAUCCAAAUUUAUUGAAAAAGAAAAUAUACUACCUCUGUUCAAGUCACAAAUAACCACAACAAGAAGAUUCCAUAGACAAAAUAUAGCCAACGUUUGUAUCUUUCUAGGAAACCAAACACUUUCGUAAGAAAAUGCUACUCUAAUUUAGACAAAAUAUCCAAGUUUUUGAUCAAUGCCUUCGAAAAUGCUACUUUAAUUUAGAAAAUUAAAAAGGUUAAUGAUUAUUCAAUUCUUUGAUGCAAAAAUUCAGCAUUUUGAUCUUUUUGAGUCAAGAAUAACUGGGUACCAAAAAGAAUCAAGAAUAUUUCGUGAAAGACAUCGUACGACACAAACUCAAAACAUAGGCAUCAAGAAGAGGUCAGCUUCUGCUAUGUUAGUAAAUCAAGUACAUAUAGAAGCAUCCUACACAAUCAUAUCCAACCAAGAAAGAAAAACGAGGAUCUGUCUGUUUAUUCACCCUGCAACUAGUAAAGAGAAGCACACGAGUGAAUUUAUUCCGUGUAUCCUAUCCCAUUAGAAUUGAGUAUUGAAAAGAUUCCAACCACGAAAGCGUGUAACUUCCACCAAUCAAUAACCAGAAAUCAUUAAUAAAGGUUCCAGGUUCCCAAUUCAUUCAGGUUCUCUAAUUGAACCAUCUGUAUAAUGAUAAAAUUCUGAAAACUGUUCCUGUACUUCCCAAAUUUGUCCUGAGUCCUUCGUUUAACUAGGCAUGUGCAGCAAUUUUUUCAAGAUAUUUAGAACUAUCCAGAGUCCCAGUGAAUGAUUCAUGAAUUAUUACUGAACUUCUUAGAUGUUUCUGAAAAGUUACUAACUUGAAAAAACAUCUUACACACUUUGCUAAUAAGGCCUAGCUUUUUCAUAUUCAUAAAUUCUCUGAGUUGUUCCCUACAUUUUCCUGAAUAACUCCGAGAACCUGAUGCUGAAAUUUCCCAAAUCCCAACCAUGCUAUGAACACGAGGAAUUACCCAAAGGAAAAAAAAAAAAAGAGAGAGAAAUUAUGGUUUUAUUGUUCAUCAUCAUAAGUAUAUAAAGCUGAAAAAAACUUCAAAAUGAUCGGACAGUAAGGCACAAGUCAUAGAUGGUCCACUGAUCUACAAUUUCCAAAUAAACAAAGCUUUAAAUCUAUAAAACCAUAGUCAAAACAAAUUCAUACAAUCAAAACACUCAAAUCUUAUAGUAGAAAUUCCUCAUUCUAACAGAUUAAGAAACACAACACCAAGGCAAAACAACAAAAAAAUUUCACUAUAAGAAGGCCUAAAAAUUCAGGCCAACCAAAGAGCCCAGUUCAAUUAUUGCAAGUUUCAUUCCUAUAAAACAUCCACAUCCCACAAAGAUUCACAAAAAGUUGCGGAAUAAAGGAAAAAAUAUUAUCAGUUUGGUCGUUGAGAAAAGGUAGGAAAACAAAAGAAAUCCAAAUCUUGAAGCUUAGAUUUGGGAAUCACCGUUCAACUGAGCCUAAUACAGCCCUAUGACUCUGUUUAAGUGUGUUUCCAUUUCUUAGAAACCAGACAACACAAAACACCACUAAAACAAUUUUCCUUCAUCUUCCCUUGCUUUCCCAACAACCAAAUAGGACCAGAAUGAAUAGAAGACAGAAAUGGAUUAAACAAACUUACAGCCAUUUUCAUGGGCAUAUUGUUUGUAUCAUUGUUUGUGUGUAUAUAUAUAUAUGUAUGUAUGAUGUGUUGAGACAGAAAGAUCACCAUUGUUUCAUGCCACAGACAAACCAAACUACAUGUUCCAUGAUCAAAUGCAUGUUCAACUCAUAAGAUGUUUUGAGUAUUCCAAAACCUAUCUGCACAAGGGCCCGAGGGAGAUAUCCAGGGUGUGACUCUCUAAUAGUUUGCAUGCAC